CAAGUCGAACGCUUCUUUUUCCACCGGAGCUUGCUCCACCGGAAAAAGAAGAGUGGCGAACGGGUGAGUAACACGUGGGUAACCUGCCCAUCAGAAGGGGAUAACACUUGGAAACAGGUGCUAAUACCGUAUAACAAUCAAAACCGCAUGGUUUUGAUUUGAAAGGCGCUUUCGGGUGUCGCUGAUGGAUGGACCCGCGGUGCAUUAGCUAGUUGGUGAGGUAACGGCUCACCAAGGCCACGAUGCAUAGCCGACCUGAGAGGGUGAUCGGCCACAUUGGGACUGAGACACGGCCCAAACUCCUACGGGAGGCAGCAGUAGGGAAUCUUCGGCAAUGGACGAAAGUCUGACCGAGCAACGCCGCGUGAGUGAAGAAGGUUUUCGGAUCGUAAAACUCUGUUGUUAGAGAAGAACAAGGAUGAGAGUAACUGUUCAUCCCUUGACGGUAUCUAACCAGAAAGCCACGGCUAACUACGUGCCAGCAGCCGCGGUAAUACGUAGGUGGCAAGCGUUGUCCG
rnacentral:rRNA from 1 species